GUUUGGAUUGAAAGCUCCACGUUUUAUCAUCCCCACUGCGGCCUCGUCACGUGACGUCACACGACUUCCUCACUACUCCACCCGCAGCAGCCAUGAUGCAAGAAGGGCUGGACGAUGGUCCCGAUUUCCUCUCGGAGGAGGACAGAGGACCUAGAGCAGUCAAUGUUGACCUCCAAACUGAUGCAACACUCCAAGUGGACAUUUCUGAUGCAUUAAGUGAGCGGGACAAGGUUAAGUUUACUGUCCAUACUAAGAGCACUCUUCCUAACUUCAAGCAGAAUGAGUUUUCAGUGGUGCGGCAGCAUGAGGAGUUCAUCUGGCUUCAUGACUCCUUUGUGGAGAAUGAGGAGUAUGCAGGCUACAUUAUUCCCCCAGCA